ACUGCUCAGUAACACGUGGACAAUCUGCCCUUGGGUCUGGGAUAACUCCGGGAAACUGGAGAUAAUACCAGAUAGGUCAUAGAUGCUGGAAUGCUCUAUGGCCCAAAGCUCCGGCGCCCCAAGGAUGAGUCUGCGGCCUAUCAGGUUGUAGUGGGCGUAAUGGACCCACUAGCCUACGACGGGUACGGGUUGUGAGAGCAAGAGCCCGGAGAUGGAUUCUGAGACAUGAAUCCAGGCCCUACGGGGCGCAGCAGGCGCAAAACCUUUACAAUGCGCGCAAGCGCGAUAAGGGGACCUCGAGUGUUCCUACCUAGUAGGAACUGUCCAGUUGUCUAAAAAACAACUGUUAGCAAGAGCCGGGCAAGACCGGUGCCAGCCGCCGCGGUAACACCGGCGGCUCGAGUGGUGACCGCUUUUAUUGGGUCUAAAGGGUCUGUAGCCGGUCUAACAAGUUCUUUGGAAAAUCUGAUCGCUUAACGAUCAGGCUGCUAGGGGAUACUGUUAGACUUGGGACCGGGAGAGGCUAGAGGUACUUUAGGGGUAGGGGUGAAAUCCUGUGAUCCUUAAAGGACCACCAGUGGCGAAGGCGUCUAGCUAGAACGGAUCCGACGGUGAGGGACGAAAGCUGGGGGCACGAACCGGAUUAGAUACCCGGGUAGUCCCAGCCGUAAACGAUGCGAGCUAGGUGUCAGUUUUACUGCGAGUAAAAUUGGUGCCGUAGGGAAGCCGUGAAGCUCGCCACCUGGGAAGUACGGCCGCAAGGCUGAAACUUAAAGGAAUUGGCGGGGGAGCACUACAACGGGUGGAGCCUGCGGUUUAAUUGGAUUCAACGCCGG
rnacentral:rRNA from 1 species